AACUUUUAACAACGGAUCUCUUGGUUCUGGCAUCGAUGAAGAACGCAGCGAAAUGCGAUAAGUAAUGUGAAUUGCAGAAUUCAGUGAAUCAUCGAAUCUUUGAACGCACAUUGCGCCCGCCAGCAUUCUGGCGGGCAUGCCUGUUCGAGCUUCAUUUCA
rnacentral:rRNA from 1 species